rnacentral:rRNA from 1 species
AUACGUAGGGGACGAGCGUUGUCCGGAAUUACUGGGCGUAAAGGGCGCGCAGGCGGAUAUUUAAGUCAGCUGUAAAAGGCAUGAGCUCAACUCAUGUAUGCGGUUGAAACUGGGUAUCUAGAGUGCUGGAGAGGUAGGCGGAAUUCCCGGUGUAGCGGUGAAAUGCGUAGAUAUCGGGAAGAACACCAGUGGCGAAGGCGGCUUACUGGCCAGCAACUGACGCUGAGGCGCGGAAGCCAGGGGAGCGAACGGGAUUAGAUACCCCGGUAGUCCUGGCCGUAGACGAUGAAUGCUAGGUGUGGGUGUCGAGAGGCAUCCGUGUCGGAGUUAACGCGAUAAGCAUUCCGCCUGGGGAGUACGAUCGCAAGAUUGAAACUCAAAGGAAUUGACGGGG